GACGAACGCUGGCGGCGUGCUUAACACAUGCAAGUCGAACGGAGUGGCGAACGGGUGUGUAACACGUGGGUGACCUGCCCUGCCCUUCGGGAUAAGCCUGGGGAACUGGGUUUAAUACCGGAUAGUGUGGGAUGGGCCCGCGGCCUCUCGGUUUGUUGGUGGGGUAAUGGCCUACCAAGGCGGCGACGGGUAGCCGGCCUGAGAGGGGGGACGGACACAUGGGGACUGAGGCACGGACCAGAGUCCUACGGGAGGCAGCAGUGGGGAAUAUUGCACAAUGGGCGGAAGCCUGAUGCAGCGGCGCCGCGUGGGGGAUGACGGCCUUCGGGUUGUAAACUCCUUUCACCAUCGACGCGGUAGAUGGAGAAGAAGCACCGGCUAACUACGUGCCAGCAGCCGCGGUAAUAC
rnacentral:rRNA from 1 species